rnacentral:rRNA from 1 species
CGCCAUCAGAUCGAGUGCCAGCCGCCGCGGUAAUACGGAGGGUGCAAGCGUUAAUCAGAAUUACUGGGCGUAAAGAGCGCGUAGGUGGUUUUUAAGUCAGGUGUGAAAUCCCUAGGCUCAACCUAGGAACUGCAUUUGAAACUGGAAACUAGAGUUUUCGUAGAGGGAGGUAGAAUUCUAGGUGUAGCGGUGAAAUGCGUAGAUAUCUGGAGGAAUACCCGUGGCGAAAGCGGCCUCCUAAACGAAAAACUGACACUGAGGCGCGAAAGCGUGGGGAGCAAACAGGAUUAGAUACCCUGGUAGUCCAUGCCGUAAACGAUGUCGACUUGGAGGUUGUUUCCAAGAGAAGUGACUUCCGAAGCUAACGCAUUAAGUCGACCGCCUGGGGAGUACGGCCGCAAGGCUA